AGAUUUUUGGGUUACCACUGGUGAAAAAAAUAGCCUAUGAAAAUCAGAUGCUUACUGUUUAUGUGGAUGAGAUGAGGCAGCUGCAGUUAUUGGAAUUUUCCUUAAUUUUGAAGCAAGAUUUUAUUGUGAAUAAUCUACAGCUGGGUACUAUAAGAAUCUAUGACUACUAUGCUACAGAGGAAUCUGCCAUCAUUCAGUACGGAUCACCGGAUUGUAGAGGAGAUAACUGAAGUAAGAUGGUUGCUGAAUGAAAUGUGACGACAACUUUCCCAAACUUCUUGAAGGAACAAAACAUUGCUAUAUAAAACAUUUUCCCUUUUCCUGCACAGUGCCAAAAGGAAAAAAAAUCUAAACCACAUAAAUGUUGUUUACAUAGAAGUAUCAUUUGAUUUGCAUGCAUUAAUUUGUAAUAAACUUGUGAAAUAUGGUGUGAUGAAGUAAUAUUUAUGUGCACUGUAACUGGUGAUCUGUCUUACCUAAACAACAACAAAAAUGCAUUCUGAGCCCUUGAGACUCUUUCAGCCAGAGUAUUCAGAUGAAAUGAUGCACACACUCAUAUAUAUAUAUAUAUAUAUAUAUAUAUAUAUAUAUAAUGCUUCUGUUUAAUAACAAUCUUCUGGCAUGUACAGGCUUCAAAUAAUUAUUACAAUAAAUAAGCAAUACAAAA